ensembl:processed_transcript
AAUUUGAAAUUCACCUGUCGUCUUUCAUCCAGCGAAUUCAUCCUCGCACAACACUGAGAUGAAGGCGAAGUCACCAUGAAAAGUUAAACGUUUAAAGGUAAGCUCUGUAAUUGAUGUUGAAAAACUGAUGCUACCAAUCACUCCUCACUUGAUUAUUCAAGCCCAGAUUGUGAUGGACCUGGAAUGCGACACCAGUUACUCUUAAGACAAGAACCGAAUAAAGCACAGAUGUGGAGGGAUUUGCAGCCAAACUAACUGGAGGGAAGGAACCUUUAGUGUGGGUGAACAUACUACCUGGAUGUCCAACAAAGGCUGCACAAGAGCUCAUUUGAUAGCACAUAUUCUGUCCUGUCUACAUCUCGGAUGACCUGGAAGUGCUUCGACAUCAGAUCAUCAUCAUGUUGCUGCCCUUUUUCACUGUCCCUUUCCACAUCAUUUGGCCUUCAUCAUUUCCUGUCUUGUAGCAGUAUUCUCACCUUUUUUAAAAUUGUAAUAAUUUUUGAUGCAUUAAUUGUUGACUGGUUUUAAUGAUCAAUUGUUUAUUAGUGUUCUGUUGCUCUGUUAUAUUGAAUUAUUGCUACUGUUUUAGCAUGGUUUACACAAUAAACCUUUAUUGUG